GGCUCUAUGAUUUUCUGCCUUCGUUGCAGUAUACGCUAUUCCGAUUCAAAAUUUGAGUAGAGAUUUUAUUGUAUAUGAGAGCA